rnacentral:rRNA from 1 species
CAAAGAGGGGGACAACAGUUGGAGACGACUGCUAAUACCGCAUAAGCCCACAGGUCGGCAUCGACCAGAGGGAAAAGGAGCAAUCCGCUUUGAGAUGGCCUCGCGUCCGAUUAGCUAGUUGGUGAGGUAACGGCCCACCAAGGCAACGAUCGGUAGCCGGACUGAGAGGUUGAACGGCCACAUUGGGACUGAGACACGGCCCAGACUCCUACGGGAGGCAGCAGUGGGGAAUAUUGCACAAUGGGGGAAACCCUGAUGCAGCGACGCCGCGUGGAGGAAGAAGGUCUUCGGAUUGUAAACUCCUGUUGUCGAGGAAGAUAAUGACGGUACUCAACAAGGAAGUGACGGCUAACUACGUGCCAGCAGCCGCGGUAAAACGUAGGUCACAAGCGUUGUCCGGAAUUACUGGGUGUAAAGGGAGCGCAGGCGGGAAGACAAGUUGGAAGUGAAAUCUAUGGGCUCAACCCAUAAACUGCUUUCCAAACUGUUUUACUUGAGUAGUGCAGAGGUAGGCGGAAUUCC